ACCAAAGUAGUGCAUCAACAACAGCUACCAUCAAUUUUGCCUUCAUGUUUUAGGUUCCUUUUGAAAAUUUCAACCACAAAAACUGUUCUGCAGUCCCAAAAGCAUGAUUGUAGAACUUGGUUGUGAAUGGAUAAAUGCAGGUUAAAAGAUUUUUGAUGCAAAGCUGCCACUAAGCUCGGGAGACACAAAAUGCAUUCUCAUUUUGGGAUACAAAGUUAAUCAAGGGUUUGAUCCAAAACUGUGAAUGAUAACAACUGUAAAAAUUUCAUCCACAAAAGAUGCACACAGGGGCAGAGGUAUUAAGGGGCCCGGUGCCCUUUCUGCUUCCAUUGAUUUAGGACUUACGAACUGGCGACUCCUACUGCUUUUCAUGUUGUUCUUUGAUUGAAUAAGCUUGAAAUUGCUCAAUUGAAUCAGUUUGAAUGUUUGAUUCCAGCAGACAGGUGAUUGUAUACAUAGAAAGGGAAAUUGCGAUGCAAUUUAUUUUAGCGUCAAUCAAUCCUAGAUGAUUUUGGAGAUUUUAAAACAUGUCGGUUUCACUUUGAUAGAUUAUUAAACUACUUUUGUUCUAUUUUGAUGGAUAAUCAAUCUUGAAAAAUAUUUUUUGGCUUAUCCUUUGACUAUGGAAUGCAAGUAUAUUGUUAGUUUUUUCUUUUACUUAUUUAGUAAGUAAUAGAGAGAUGUGUGAUGUUAAAAAAUUUUCCGCAAUGACUCGACCCCCCGGGAUUCUUAAUCCUAACUCCGCCACUGGAUGCACAUAACUGGGUUUCAGACGACACACCCUGUGCCAUGUUCACAGUGCUUCUCAUGAACUUAAGGGACCUACUAGUUAUGUGUUUCAGAUGAUAGACCAUAUGACAUGUUCAAAACACAGUGCUUCUCAUGAACUUAAGGAACCUCCUAAGUACUAACAUAUUUGUAGAGAUCCGUAUUUUUGAGGUCGUAUUUUUCUUUUAUGAACGUACGACCCGUCGAGAUAGACAGUGCGGAUAUUCGGUGUGACUUCUUCGUGGGAGGAUAUAAGGAUAAUUGUGCGAGAGGUGCAUGUGUGUGUGUGUGGGGUGGAAGCAUGGGAUUACUCCCCAUGCCAUUAAUUUUCCCAGGAGAAUAAUUUCUCCCAUUUUCCCCCUUCCUCACUCUCGGCUAUCUCUCCCUCCUCUUCUCCAUCCGCAAAACUCUCCCUCUCUUCUCUCUUCGAUCUCUUCACCUUAGAGCGUGAUUCCGAACGAAGUUCAAGAAUUAAAGUUGCUAUACGAAACACGGGCUUUCCGAAUAUCCAAGAAAAUUCAUGAUCGGACGUCGUUGGAGCUCGGUUGACUCGGUCAAAGGGUCGGGUUUUGCUCAAAACCCAUGAGGUACACUACAGGAACAUAGUCUUGGAGGGUGUGAAGUGCAUGCAGACAUCACAGACUAAAGUUAUUUUCUGAAGUACUUGUCUUUCAUCGUAAAUUAAAUUGCAUUGUACUAUUCUCUCUAUUUUGGAAUACUGUAUCAAUUGACAGAUUUGUGAGAUUCAGAAACUGUAUUGUAAUUUGGGGUACCGUAUGUACUAUUGUGAGGAUUCGUAUUUAAAAUAGCAUUGUUAUUUAUGUUAAAAA